UGGGGAGUACGAUCGCAAGAUUGAAACUUAAAGGAAUUGGCGGGGGAGCACCACAAGGGGUGAAGCCUGCGGUUUAAUUGGAGUCAACGCCGGGAACCUUACCGGGGCUGACAGCAGAAUGAAGGUCAGGCUGAAGACUUUACCAGACAAGCUGAGAGGUGGUGCAUGGCCGUCGCCAGUUCGUGCCGUGAGGUGUCCUGUUAAGUCAGGCAACGAACGAGAUCCCCACCUUUAGUUGCCAGCGAAUUCCAACGGGAUGUCGGGCACACUAAUGGGACUGCCACCGAUAAGGUGGAGGAAGGAGGGGGCAACGGCAGGUCAGUAUGCCCCGAAUCCCCCGGGCCACACGCGGGCUGCAAUGGUAGGGACAGAGGGCUGCGACCCCGAGAGGGGAAGGCAAUCCCUAAACCCUACCUCAGUUGGGAUUGAGGGCUGCAACUCGCCCUCAUGAACAUGGAAUCCCUAGUAACCGCGUGUCAUCAUCGCGCGGUGAAUACGUCCCCGCUCCUUGCACACACCGCCCGUCGUUCCACCCAAGUGGAGUUUGGAUGAGGCGUGGUCUUCUUGGCUAUGUCGAAUCUGGGUUCGGUGAGGAGGGAAAAGUCGUAACAAGGUGGCCGUAGGGGAAC
rnacentral:rRNA from 2 species